rnacentral:rRNA from 1 species
CCUACGGGGGGCUGCAGUGGGGAAUAUUGGACAAUGGGCGAAAGCCUGAUCCAGCCAUGCCGCGUGUGUGAAGAAGGCCUUCGGGUUGUAAAGCACUUUCAGUGGGGAAGAAAGCCUUGGGGCUAAUACCCUCGAGGAAGGACAUCACCCACAGAAGAAGCACCGGCUAACUCCGUGGCCAGCAGCCGCGGUAAUACGGAGGGUGCGAGCGUUAAUCGGAAUUACUGGGCGUAAAGCGCGCGUAGGCGGUCUGAAAAGCCGGUUGUGAAAGCCCCGGGCUCAACCUGGGAACGGCAUCCGGAACUGUCAGGCUAGAGUGCAGGAGAGGAAGGUAGAAUUCCCGGUGUAGCAGUGAAAUGCGUAGAGAUCGGGAGGAAUACCAGUGGCGAAGGCGGCCUUCUGGACUGACACUGACGCUGAGGUGCGAAAGCGUGGGUAGCAAACAGGAUUAGAUACCCGUGUAGUC